AGUCGAGGGGUAACGGGGAAGCUUGCUUCCGCCGACGACCGGCGCACGGGUGCGUAACGCGUAUACAAUCUACCUUGUACUGGGGUAUAGCCUUUAGAAAUGAAGAUUAAUCCCCCAUAGUCUCUUAGAGUGGCAUCACUUCUAGAGUAAAGGUUACGGUAUAAGAUGAGUAUGCGUUCUAUUAGUUUGUUGGUGUGGUAACGGCACACCAAGACUACGAUAGAUAGGGGCCCUGAGAGGGGGAUCCCCCACACUGGUACUGAGACACGGACCAGACUCCUACGGGAGGCAGCAGUGAGGAAUAUUGGACAAUGGAGGCAACUCUGAUCCAGCCAUGCCGCGUGCAGGAAGACUGCCCUAUGGGUUGUAAACUGCUUUUAUACAGGAAGAAACACCUCUACGUGUAGAGGCUUGACGGUACUGUAAGAAUAAGGAUCGGCUAACUCCGUGCCAGCAGCCGCGGUAAUACGGAGGAUCCAAGCGUUAUCCGGAAUCAUUGGGUUUAAAGGGUCCGUAGGUGGAUAAUUAAGUCAGAGGUGAAAUCUUGCAGCUCAACUGUAAAAUUGCCUUUGAAACUGGUUGUCUUGAGUUAUUAUGAAGUAGUUAGAAUAUGUAGUGUAGCGGUGAAAUGCAUAGAUAUUACAUAGAAUACAAUUGCGAAGGCAGAUUACUAAUAAUCAACUGACACUGAUGGACGAAAGCGUGGGUAGCGAACAGGAUUAGAUACCCUGGUAGUCCACGCCGUAAACGAUGGUUACUAGCUGUUUGGACUUCGGUCUGAGUGGCUAAGCGAAAGUGAUAAGUAACCCACCUGGGGAGUACGUUCGCAAGAAUGAAACUCAAAG
rnacentral:rRNA from 1 species